rnacentral:rRNA from 1 species
AGCGAACGCUGGCGGCAGGCCUAACACAUGCAAGUCGAACGAACCUUUCGGGGUUAGUGGCGGACGGGUGAGUAACACGUGGGAACGUGCCUUUAAGUUCGGAAAAACUCAGGGAAACUUGUGCUAAUACCGAAUGUGCCCUUCGGGGGAAAGAUUUAUCGCCUUUAGAGCGGCCCGCGUCUGAUUAGCUAGUUGGUUGAGGUAAUGGCUCACCAAGGCGACGAUCAGUAGCUGGUCUGAGAGGAUGAUCAGCCACAUUGGGACUGAGACACGGCCCAAACUCCUACGGGAGGCAGCAGUGGGGAAUCUUGCGCAAUGGGCGAAAGCCUGACGCAGCCAUGCCGCGUGAAUGAUGAAGGUCUUAGGAUUGUAAAAUUCUUUCACCGGGGACGAUAAUGACGGUACCCGGAGAAGAAGCCCCGGCUAACUUCGUG